rnacentral:rRNA from 1 species
CCUACGGGUGGCAGCAGUGAGGGAUAUUGGUCAAUGGGGGAAACCCUGAACCAGCAACGCCGCGUGAGGGAAGACGGUUUUCGGAUUGUAAACCUCUGUCCACUGUGAAGAUGAUGACGGUAGCAGAGGAGGAAGCCCCGGCUAACUACGUGCCAGCAGCCGCGGUAAUACGUAGGGAGCAAGCGUUGUCCGGAUUUACUGGGUGUAAAGGGUGCGUAGGUGGGUUUGCAAGUCAGUAGUGAAAUUCAUGGGCUUAACCCAUGAAUUGCAUUUGAAACUGGAGGGCUUGAGUAGAGUAGAGGUAGGCGGAAUUCCCGGUGUAGCGGUGAAAUGCGUAGAGAUCGGGAAGAACACCGAUGGCGAAGGCAGCCUACUAAACUCUAACUGACACUGAGGCACGAAAGCGUGGGUAGCAAACAGGAUUAGAUACCCCAGUAGUC